rnacentral:rRNA from 1 species
ACAUAAGAGGUCCAGCCUGCCCAGUGACUCUGUUCAACGGCCGCGGUAUCCUAACCGUGCGAAGGUAGCGUAAUCAUUUGUUCUUUAAAUAAGGACUAGUAUGAACGGCACCACGAAGGUUACACUGUCUCCUUUUUCUAAUCAGUGAAACUAAUCUCCCCGUGAAGAAGCGGGGAUUAGUCUAUAAGACGAGAAGACCCUAUGGAGCUUUAAACAAGAUAACAAUUGCUUGCCCACAUUUAUUUUCAGAAAACCAAAUCUUUAUCUUAGCAUUCUGAUUAUCAGUUUUAGGUUGGGGUGACCGUGGAGUAAAAAUUAACCUCCACAUUGACAUGGAAUUAAACCCUAAGCAAAGAGCCACAACUUCAUGCAUCAGCAAACUGACAUAAUUGACCCAAUAUUUUUGAUCAACGAACCAAGUUACCCUAGGGAUAACAGCGCAAUCCUCUUCAAGAGCUCCUAUCGACAAGGGGGUUUACGACCUCGAUGUUGGAUCAGGGUAUCCUAGUGGUGCAGCCGCUACUGAAGGUUCGUUUGUUCAACGAUUAAAACCCU